UCUGUUCUUCACCUUAUUUUGCAAGGCAGGUUAACUUUUGAAUUCUGAAAUCCAGGAAAGUGAAUACAGCUGCUUUGCUUUUGGGCCUUGAUUGUCUUAUCAACGUCCCAUAUGUAGAUGAUAUCGAGGAUUUUAAGGAAUACAUACUUUUUGUCAUGGUCAUUUGAGAUGUGUUAUAUCUCUGUGAAAUCACAACGAGAAAAGAUAACAAAGUUGUUAUUGCACGUAAUAUCAUGUAUGUUGUGGAACAGUAUUUUUGGUUUUUAAGAGCUCAUUGGACAUUUCUAAAAGCUGUUGUGAAUAAGUUUCUUUAGUUUUUGCAUAAGACGCACCCUGGAGUUCAGGUUAUGUUUUAUUCCUAUGUUUUCUGUCCUACUUUUUCUUAUAUCAACAACUUAGUUUAUGUCCCUGUGCGUGUGCCUAUGUGUGUGUGCUCUACGUGCUCAUUUCUGUGUGCUCUGUGUCUGUACUAUGUGCUGUAUGCCUUUGUUUGCCUGAGUCAUUGUGUGUGCAUGCUGUGUUUUGUAUGUGUUUCUACGUUCGUGUAUCUGUCUUUUUUGUGUUCACAGGUGGCAUCCCUUUAGUCUGGGAACACUACCAAUAUUCUUGAGGCAUAUUCAUGCGGUUCAAGUGAGG